AGCGAACGCUGGCGGCAGGCUUAACACAUGCAAGUCGAGCGGGCACUUUCGGGUGUCAGCGGCGGACGGGUGCGUAACGCGUGGGAACGUGCCCUCUGGUUCGGAAUAACUCAGGGAAACUUGAGCUAAUACCGGAUACGCCCUUUUGGGGAAAGGCUUGCUGCCGGAGGGUCGGCCCGCGUCUGAUUAGCUAGUUGGUGCGGGAACGGCUCACCAAGGCGACGAUCAGUAGCUGGGCUGAGAGGAUGAUCAGCCACACUGGGACUGAGACACGGUCCAGACUCCUACGGGAGGCAGCAGUGGGGAAUAUUGGACAAUGGGCGCAAGCCUGAUGCAGCCAGGCCGGGUGAGUGAUGAAGGCCUUAGGGUUGUAAAGCUCUUUUAUCCGGGACGAUAAUGACGGUACCGGAGGAAUAAGCCCCGGCUAACUUCGUG
rnacentral:rRNA from 1 species